rnacentral:lncRNA from 1 species
AAUCCUUUGUUUCCAUUCUACUCUAUGCAUGACUUAGUUCACACUCAUACCAUGUAGCAAUAGGUCUUUUGGGACAACUUUCCUCCUUGUGAUUUUAAGUCGACGUUUCCCUUUUAAGAUCCUUCACCAAAAUGUAUCGUACUUCCAAACGGGGCACAUGAAAGUCUACAUAGGACAUGGCCAAACCAUAUCAGACUUUCUUCUCCUGUUUUAUCCCCAACUUGUGCUACUUGCAUCUUUGUCCGAUGUGGUCAUUAAUCUUGUCCAAUCUUCUGUGAUCUCACAUUCAUCUUAACAUCUAUAUUUUUGCAACAUUCAUCUUGUGAAUAUGUUGGGUCUGCAGGGCCAACAUUCACUUACAUGCAACAUCGCAGGUCUCACUAUUGUUCUAAAGAACUUGCCUUUCACCCUGUAUAAAUCUUUCAUUAUUGAAGACUCUAAUUAUUAAUUAAAAAUUAAAAUCUAGUUGUUAAAAAAUUUCACUCAAAUCUUUAGACUGUUAUAUUCUAUGAUAUUUUAGUUUCUGUAAGUGUGAUAUACAAAGAAUGUUAAUAAGAUAACUAUUAAAAUUGUUUUUAGCUUAUAAUUAACAAAAUCUAAAUAAUUAACUCUAUAGAAAUAAUUUUAUUUUUCUGACAGAAUAUCUAUUACUUUGGCCCUCUUGAUUCAAAAUUCUAGCUUUGCCCCCCUAAUAUGCAGGAUUUUGAAAAUGGAAAGCAAUGUCCUGUAUUGGCUGGAUUACAAGGCAUUUUGGCUCACCAAUAUUGGAUCCCCUGAUCUGUUGCUGUGAUUUGUGCAUUUAUGGCUGGCUUGUCUAUAAUAGAAUGAUAUGGAUUUUUUGUCUAAUAAAUUCUGUUAUGGGGCAAGAUAUAAUGACUUUUAUAUUGUGAAAAUAAGAGAAUUAAGAGGAGGAGAGUGAUGGCAGUAUACCUGUUGUUAUGUGUCUUUUUGUUUUCUCUCUCCGUCUCCCUUUUUUUAAUUCUUUUCCUUCCUCUUCUCCUUAAUUUUAAUGUUCUUUUGAAAACCUUACACCAUAUUUAGGCUGCUUUACAAAAAUAACUAGUAGGCCUUUUUUGAAGUUCUA